rnacentral:misc_RNA from 1 species
GAUGAAGAACGUAGCGAAAUGCGAUAAGUAAUAUGAAUUGCAGAAUCCAGUGAAUCAUCGAAUCUUUGAACGCACAUUGCGCCCGCCAGCAUUCUGGCGGGCAUGCCUGUUCGAGCGUCAUUUCAACCCUCGACCUCCCCUUGGGGAGGUCGGCGUUGGGGACCGGCAGCACACCGCCGGCCCUGAAAUGGAGUGGCGGCCCGUCUGCGGCGACCUCUGCGUAGUAAUACAGCUCGCACCGGAACCCCGACGCGGCCACGCCGUAAAACACCCAACUUCUGAACGUUGACCUCGAAUCAGGUAGGACUACCCGCUGAACUUAAGCAUAUCAAUAAGCGGAGGA